UACGUAGGCAGCAAGCGUUGUUCGGAGUUACUGGGCGUAAAGGGUGUGUAGGCGGCCUGUUAAGUUCCGUGUGAAAUCUCCCGGCUCAACUGGGAGGGUGCGCGGAAAACUGGCGGGCUAGAGUACGGGAUGGGAGAGUAGAAUUCCUGGUGUAGCGGUGAAAUGCGUAGAUAUCAGGAGGAAUACCGGUGGUGUAGACGGCUCUCUGGACCGUAACUGACGCUGAGACACGAAAGCGUGGGUAGCAAACAG
rnacentral:rRNA from 1 species